UAGUCUAGUCCCAGAACUGGAUGUUCUAGC
rnacentral:piRNA from 1 species